rnacentral:rRNA from 1 species
AACGAACGCUGGCGGCAGGCUUAACACAUGCAAGUCGAACGCCCCGCAAGGGGAGUGGCAGACGGGUGAGUAACGCGUGGGAAUCUACCUAGUUCUACGGAACAACAGAGGGAAACUUCUGCUAAUACCGUAUACGCCCUAAGGGGGAAAGCUUUAUCGGAAUUAGAUGAGCCCGCGUAAGAUUAGCUAGUUGGUGGGGUAAUGGCCUACCAAGGCGACGAUCUUUAGCUGGUCUGAGAGGAUGAUCAGCCACACUGGGACUGAGACACGGCCCAGACUCCUACGGGAGGCAGCAGUGGGGAAUAUUGGACAAUGGGCGAAAGCCUGAUCCAGCCAUGCCGCGUGAGUGAUGAAGGCCUUAGGGUUGUAAAGCUCUUUCAGUAGGGAAGAUAAUGACGGUACCUACAGAAGAAGCCCCGGCUAACUUCGUGCCAGCCGCCGCGGUAAAAC